rnacentral:rRNA from 1 species
UACGUAGGGUGCGAGCGUUGUUCGGAAUUACUGGGCGUAAAGGGCUCGUAGGUGGCCAACUAAGUCAUACGUGAAAUCCCUCGGCUUAACCGGGGAACUGCGUCUGAUACUGGAUGGCUUGAGGUUGGGAGAGGGAUGCGGAAUUCCAGGUGUAGCGGUGAAAUGCGUAGAUAUCUGGAGGAACACCGGUGGCGAAGGCGGCAUCCUGGACCAAUUCUGACACUGAGGAGCGAAAGCCAGGGGAGCAAACGGG